UACGUAGGGGGCAAGCGUUGUCCGGAUUUAUUGGGCGUAAAGAGCGUGUAGGCGGCCUGGUAGGUCAGCUGUGAAAACUCGAGGCUCAACCUCGAGACGUCGGUUGAAACCACCUGGCUAGAGUCCGGAAGAGGAGAGUGGAAUUCCCGGUGUAGCGGUGAAAUGCGCAGAUAUCAGGAGGAACACCGGUGGCGAAGGCGGAUCUCUGGGCCUUACCUGACGCUCAGGUGCGAAAGCUAGGGGAGCGAACAGG
rnacentral:rRNA from 1 species